AACUUUUCGAAUCCGUGCUGAGAUUUCGUCCGACACCAACCUACUAGGACUGAUCAGACAUCCAAGAUAAGUGAAGUU
rnacentral:pre_miRNA from 1 species